rnacentral:rRNA from 1 species
UACAGAGGUGGCAAGCGUUGUUCGGAAUUACUGGGCGUAAAGGGCGCGUAGGUGGCCUUCUUAGUCAGACGUGAAAUCCCUCGGCUUAACCGGGGAACUGCGUCUGAUACUGGAUGGCUUGAGUUCGGGAGAGGGAUGCGGAAUUCCAGGUGUAGCGGUGAAAUGCGUAGAUAUCUGGAGGAACACCGGUGGCGAAGGCGGCAUCCUGGACCAACACUGACACUGAGGAGCGAAAGCCAGGGGAGCAAACGGG